CCUACGGGUGGCUGCAGUAGGGAAUAUUGCUCAAUGGGGGAAACCCUGAAGCAGCAACGCCGCGUGGAGGAUGAAGGUUUUCGGAUUUUAAACUCCUUUUGUUAGAGAAGAUAAUGACGGUAUCUAACGAAUAAGCACCGGCUAACUCCGUGCCAGCAGCCGCGGUAAUUCGGGGGGUGCAAGCGUUACUCGGAAUCACUGGGCGUAAAGAGCGCGUAGGCGGGAUAGCAAGUCAGAUGGGAAAUCCUAUGGGUUAACCAUAGAACUGCAGUUGAAACUGUUAUUCUAGAGUGAGGGAGAGGUAGGGGGGAAGCGUGGGGUAGGGGUUAAAUCCGGAGAGAUCAAGGAGAAA
rnacentral:rRNA from 1 species